GGCUUGGUGGCGUAAUGGUAACAUGUUCCGUGUCCUUUGCAACGUUUGCAUAUUGUUGGAUGGAAAGUUCGGAGUUCAAUUCUCCAUCGAGCCU